GCUGGCGGCGUGCUUAACACAUGCAAGUCGAACGAACCUUCGGGUUAGUGGCGGACGGGUGAGUAACGCGUGAGAAUCUGCCCUCAGGAGGGGGAUAACGGUUGGAAACGACCGCUAAUACCCCAUAUGCCUACUGGUGAAAUGAAUUUCGCCUGAGGAUGAGCUCGCGUCUGAUUAGCUUGUUGGUGAGGUAAUGGCUCACCAAGGCUUCGAUCAGUAGCUGGUCUGAGAGGAUGAUCAGCCACACUGGGACUGAGACACGGCCCAGACUCCUACGGGAGGCAGCAGUGGGGAAUUUUCCGCAAUGGGCGAAAGCCUGACGGAGCAACGCCGCGUGAGGGACGAAGGCCUCUGGGCUGUAAACCUCUUUUCUCAAGGAAGAAGAUAUGACGGUACUUGAGGAAUAAGCCACGGCUAAUUCCGUGCCAGCAGCCGCGGUAAUACGGGAGUGGCAAGCGUUAUCCGGAAUUAUUGGGCGUAAAGCGUCCGCAGGCGGCUUUUCAAGUCUGCUGUUAAAGCGUGGAGCUUAACUCCAUCAUGGCAGUGGAAACUGAAAGGCUUGAGUAUGGUAGGGGCAGAGGGAAUUCCCGGUGUAGCGGUGAAAUGCGUAGAUAUCGGGAAGAACACCAGUGGCGAAGGCGCUCUGCUGGGCCAUUACUGACGCUCAUGGACGAAAGCCAGGGGAGCGAAAGGGAUUAGAUACCCCUGUAGUCCUGGCCGUAAACGAUGAACACUAGGUGUCGGGGGAAUCGACCCCUUCGGUGUCGUAGCUAACGCGUUAAGUGUUCCGCCUGGGGAGUACGCACGCAAGUGUGACCCAAUGAUACG
rnacentral:rRNA from 1 species